UUAGAGUUUGAUCCUGGCUCAGGACGAACGCUGGCGGCGUGCCUAACACAUGCAAGUCGAGCGAAUGAAGUUCCUUCGGGAACGGAUUUAGCGGCGGACGGGUGAGUAACACGUGGGCAACCUGCCUCAUAGAGGGGAAUAGCCUUCCGAAAGGGAGAUUAAUACCGCAUAAGAUUGUAGUACCGCAUGGUACAGCAAUUAAAGGAGCAAUCCGCUAUGAGAUGGGCCCGCGGCGCAUUAGCUAGUUGGUGAGGUAACGGCUCACCAUAGCAAUGAUGUCUAGGGGUUUUGAGAGGAAGGCCCCCCACACUGGGACUGAGACACGGCCCAGACUCCUACGGGAGGCAGCAGUGAGGAAUAUUGGACAAUGGAUGGAAAUCUGAUCCAGCCAUGCCGCGUGCAGGAAGACGGCCUUAUGGGUUGUAAACUGCUUUUAUACGGGAGCAAUAAGGGUUACGAGUAAUCCGAUGAGAGUACUGUAUGAAUAAGGAUCGGCUAACUCCGUGCCAGCAGCCGCGGUAAUACGGAGGAUCCGAGCGUUAUCCGGAAUUAUUGGGUUUAAAGGGUGCGUAGGCGGCCAUUUAAGUCAGCGGUGAAAUUUUGCAGCUUAACUGUAACAGUGCCGUUGAUACUGUUUGGCUAGGAUUUGGUUGUAGUGUGCGGAAUGUGUGGUGUAGCGGUGAAAUGCUUAGAUAUCACACAGAACACCGAUUGCGAAGGCAGCACACUAAGUCAUUAUUGACGCUGAGGCACGAAAGUGUGGGGAUCAAACAGGAUUAGAUACCCUGGUAGUCCACACUGUAAACGAUGAUAACUCGCUGUCGGCGAUACACAGUCGGUGGCCAAGCGAAAGCAUUAAGUUAUCCACCUGGGGAGUACGACCGCAAGGUUGAAACUCAAAGGAAUUGACGGGGGCCCGCACAAGCGGAGGAACAUGUGGUUUAAUUCGAUGAUACGCGAGGAACCUUACCCGGGCUCGAACGGUGCAUGAAUAUACGAGAGAUUGUAUAGUCCUUCGGGACAUGUAUCGAGGUGCUGCAUGGUUGUCGUCAGCUCGUGCCGUGAGGUGUCGGCUUAAGUGCCAUAACGAGCGCAACCCUCGUCAUUAGUUGCCAUCAGGUCAAGCUGGGGACUUUAAUGAGACUGCCACCGUAAGGUGUGAGGAAGGGGGGGAGGACGUCAAAUCAGCACGGCCCUUAUGUCCGGGGCGACACACGUGUUACAAUGGGAGGUACAGAGGGCAGCUAUCCGGUGACGGAAUGCUAAUCUCCAAAACCUUUCUCAGUUCGGAUUGGAGUCUGCAACUCGACUCCAUGAAGGUGGAUUCGCUAGUAAUCGCGCAUCAGCCAUGGCGCGGUGAAUAAAAUCCCGGGCCUUGCACUCACCGCCCGUCAA
rnacentral:rRNA from 1 species